UCAGUAUCUAACUUCUUUGCACAUUUAAUAUUUUACAAGAGACAGUUCAAUUUUCCUGCAGGAAGACGUGGGAUGGCAGCCAAUAGACCAUGAACAACCAAGCAGCCAUUCCGUCUCAGAAAAAAGUAAAAGAGGCAGGGGCAGAGAUACUAACCUGAUAGAAUCCCAGACUGCCCAGCCAGAG
rnacentral:sRNA from 1 species